rnacentral:misc_RNA from 1 species
AACGCACAUUGCGCCCCCUGGUAUUCCGGGGGGCAUGCCUAUUCGAGCGUCAUUAUCACCCCUCAAGCCUAGCUUGGUGUUGAGGCCUGCUGUCAAGGCAGCCUCUAAAAUCAGUGGCAGUGCUGUCAGGCUCUAAGCGUAGUAAAUCUAAUCGCUAUAGACACCUGGUGGACACUCGCCAGAACCCCCCCAUUUUUUAAUGAUUGACCUCGGAUUAGGUAGGGAUACCCGCUGAACUUAA